AGAGUUUGAUCAUGGCUCAGAACGAACGCUGGCGGCGCGUCUUAAGCAUGCAAGUCGAACGGCAAGGCGGGUGCUUGCACCUGCCCCAGAGUGGCGGACUGGUGAGUAACACGUGGGUGACAUACCCCCCGGACGGGGAUAGCCGGUAGAAAUACCGGGUAAUACCGGAUACGGUCGCGCAGGUUAGAGCUGCGCGAGGAAAGGAGCUACGGCUCCGCCGGGGGAAUGGCCCGCGGCCUAUUAGUUAGUUGGUGGGGUAAAGGCCUACCAAGGCGAUGACGGGUAUCCGGCCUGAGAGGGUGAACGGACACAUUGGGACUGAGAUACGGCCCAGACUCCUACGGGAGGCAGCAGCUAAGAAUAUUCCGCAAUGGACGGAAGUCUGACGGAGCGACGCCGCGUGAACGAUGAAGGCCGGAAGGUUGUAAAGUUCUUUUGGACGUGAGGAAUAAGGGACGCAGGGAAUGGCGUCCUGGUGACUGUAGCGUCUGAAUAAGCAACGGCUAAUUACGUGCCAGCAGCCGCGGUAACACGUAAGUUGCGAGCGUUGUUCGGAAUUAUUGGGCGUAAAGGGCAUGCAGGCGGCUGCGUAAGCCUGAUGUGAAAUGCCGGGGCUCAACCCCGGAACUGCAUUGGGAACUACGCGGCUAGAGUUACUGAGGGGCAGCCGGAAUUCCAGGUGUAGGGGUGAAAUCUGUAGAUAUCUGGAAGAACACCAAUGGCGAAGGCAGGCUGCCAGCAGAUAACUGACGCUGAGGUGCGAAGGUGCGGGGAGCGAACAGGAUUAGAUACCCUGGUAGUCCGCACAGUAAACGAUGUACACUAGGUGUCUGGCCAUGAGGCUGGGUGCCAAAGCAAACGUGGUAAGUGUACCGCCUGGGGAGUAUGCCCGCAAGGGUGAAACUCAAAGGAAUUGACGGGGGCCCGCACAAGCGGUGGAGCAUGUGGUUUAAUUCGAUGGUACGCGAGGAACCUUACCUGGGCUUGACAUACACGGUGAUUCCAUAGAGAUAUGGGAGCGUAGCAAUACGACCGUGAAUAGGUGCUGCAUGGCUGUCGUCAGCUCGUGCCGUGAGGUGUUGGGUUAAGUCCCGCAACGAGCGCAACCCCUACUGCCAGUUACCAACAGGUGAUGCUGGGGACUCUGGCGGAACUGCCGGUGACAAACCGGAGGAAGGUGGGGAUGACGUCAAGUCAUCAUGGCCCUUAUGUCCAGGGCUACACACGUGCUACAAUGGCUGGAACAGAGCGAGGCUAAGCCGCGAGGCGGAGCAAAACGCAAAAAAACAGCCGUAGUUCGGAUUGAAGUCUGAAACCCGACUUCAUGAAGUUGGAAUCGCUAGUAAUCGCGCAUCAGCACGGCGCGGUGAAUACGUUCCCGGGCCUUGUACACACCGCCCGUCACACCAUCCGAGUAGAGGGUACCCGAAGCCGGCAGCCUAACCGCAAGGGGGGCGCUGUCGAAGGUACGCUUUGUGAGGGGGGUGAAGUCGUAACAAGGUAGUCGUACCGGAAGGUGCGGCUGGAACACCUCCUU
rnacentral:rRNA from 1 species